rnacentral:lncRNA from 1 species
CGAGCGUGCGGAGCGUAGCCCAGGCCCAGGCCCAGGCACGUGGGGUGUACGGGCUAGCCCAAGCCCAUGCACGGGCUGGCCCAGGCCCAAGCGCCCGUUGGGAGCCUGUUUUCCCGAUCCACCAUGGAUCGGGUGGUCUAUGGCCCAUUGCGUGGAUUGCAUGGAUAUUUUCCAUGCAUUUGGCAUAGUCCAUGGUACUGUUCGUGGACCGACAC